UACCUAGGUGGCAAGCGUUAUCCGGAUUUACUGGGUGUAAAGGGCGUGUAGGCGGGACUGCAAGUCAGAUGUGAAACCCAUGGGCUCAACCCAUGGCCUGCAUUUGAAACUGUAGUUCUUGAGUGAUGGAGAGGCAGGCGGAAUUCCGUGUGUAGCGGUGAAAUGCGUAGAUAUACGGAGGAACACCAGUGGCGAAGGCGGCCUGCUGGACAUUAACUGACGCUGAGGCGCGAAAGCGUGGGGAGCAAACAGG
rnacentral:rRNA from 1 species